GAGGAGGUAGAUGGCGUCCAUUCUACAUGGACAUGGUGUAUGGGUCUAAAGAAAAGUUUUGAAAAAAGUUGAUUAAAAGUUUGUUGAUGGUUUGCAAGUCGAUUGUAUCCUGUUUUGUUUGGGUCUCUUUUUUAGUGGUCACGGUCAAACAUUGAGCAGAAGAGGAGUUGGGGUAUAGUCAAAUCACUGAGAAGUUUUGCAAUGCUGAAAAUAUUCACCUAGAUGAAGAUCAUCUAACUAAAGAAGUCAGUUUGCAAAAGGAUAGUAACAGGACUGGGAACUGCCAAGUGUCCACUUUCAACCCUUUUUCCACACACACUUGGGGCCCUGGUAAUUAUAAAACAGGUUGCUAACAACUGAUUUAUUUCACAUAUAUGUACUCGAUAUCUUAAUAGGUCUGCUGGGGGUUACACAUAGUAGUCCAAAGAAAUGUGAUGUGAGCACAGAUUUCUCAGGGGAAGCCUGCAAGCAUAAAGGGGAAACAACAGCUGUAACACACAAGCUUGAAAAGCCCAAUAUUUACCCUUAAAGAACAAGUUUGUCUGUAAGUUUAAAUACAAAGCUCAUCCAUGAUGAAAUUAAACCAUAUUUAUCUUCCCAUCUAAGGGAAUUACUAACUAGAAAAGCACUCGGAGAGCGCAGACUUCCGCCAAGUGACUCAUGUCUCACCUUGAACAAGAAUGAACUGACUGGGAUUUGAACCCACAACCUUCUGGUUGUGAGGCAACAGUGCUAAACACUACACCACUGUGUCACAUAUCUACCCUACUGUGCCGCCCAUUACUUAUCCUUCAGCAUUGAAAAUUCCAACAACACCCUUAUUUUUGUGUGUUCUGGAUCACAGUAUUCAGAAUUUUGUCCGGAUCACCACCAAAUCAGAGAUGCACCUCUGGUGAACAUUUCAGGUCAAUCCGUCUGUUACUUUUUCCGUAAAGUUGCUAACAGACAAACAAAAAACCCAACGCUACCGAAAACACUAGAAAAGCACUCGGAGAGCGCAGACCUCCGCCAAGCGGCUCAUGUCCCCCCUUGAACAAGAAAUGCCCUGACUGGGAUUCAAACCCAGGACCUUCUGGUUGUGAGGCAACAGUGCUAACCACUACACCACUGUGCCACCUAUCUACCCCACUGUGCCGCCCAUUACUUAUCUUUCAGCACUGAAAAUUCCAACAACACCCUUAUUUUUGUGUGUUCUGGAUCACAGUAUCCAGAAUUGACAUAUGACUGUGGUCAUAUGAGGAUCUGAUAAAGCCUGUGGUAUACACUUGCAAAGGACUAGUAAUACUGAAUAAUACAGUAUGCAGGUUUUACAGCAAUAUACUGUAUGUUGCCAUCCAGACAAUGACUUUUUCAGGGAAGCAUUUGCACAUAUCAGCACAAAGAAUCAAAACUGUAUUCUAAAAAUUUUUAAUAUAGCAUGCUCCCUUAGUAGAAGCAUAGAGGUACGAAACUGGCCUGCCUACAGUCCUGACUUGUCAUACAUGGAAAACCUUUGGGGCAAUCAUGAUAUGAAAAUGACAACAAAGGAGACUCCAAAUUAUAGGGUGACUGAGAUUCAUUACCAGGCAAAAGUGGGACGCUAGUUCGCCUUUAGAAACAGGUCCCAUCAGCCCUGAAACACUCAGAGAUUGUAAUUGACAAAAGUACUAAAAGAAAGUAAUAAAAUGCCCCUCAAAUGACUGUUUAAAACAUUUUUUUUUUCAGAUGUUGCACUUGCUUUGUUGUCUUAGCACUAUUUUCAAUUUAAUAGGUUACACAGUGUGUAAUGAUUACACAGUGUCCCAACAUUUUUGGGAGUGGGGUUUGUAUUUAAUCUAUCUCAUAUCUUGAUGUUUCUCCCAGUCAAAAGAAAGCAUUUUGCUGUGUUUUUUAGGACCUGGUAUUAUCUCGGGUCACCAUGUGUUGAGAUGUGUAAUGAGUUACAUGCUCCUGAAAUCAUAAACCGGAUAUGUGCAGCCUGAAACCCACAAACCCUCCCUGAUGCUCAGAGCUACACUUUAAAGCUUCAGCAGACUCAAGAUAAAAUUCCACUCCCCUCCUGUGAGUGAUGUCUCCUGUAAAACUGUUGUUUUCUUAGUUUUUAAUGCUUGUCAUUUUGAUUUGAACCACUAUUAGUUUCAGUUACUGAUGGGAUUGGAAAUAUCUGGUGCUUCAAAUACAUAGAUUACAAAUAACAGUGAUCUUAACAUGUGAUCAGUUGUCUUUAGUGAUACUGUACACACAGACAAACAUUUCCAUCCCAUUUUUUUAGCAUUUCUACUUACCCAGUAAACCCUGCUGCUUUUCCACCCCUCUCCUCUGGUGUAUGGCAUAACCAAGGGUGCACACUUGGAGCUCUAUAUUUUAACUUGAACAUACAUUCACACAGACAUUCAUCCUUAUACCUACCUGCUAUGUUGGUCAUGCCUGCUCAUGUUUCCAAAUGAGGAAACAGAAUGCAUGAUUUCCCUGCAGUAAAUAGGUGAGUAUGACGACCAAAGUAGUCACAUGAUGCAGGAAAAGUUACUCUGUAGUUGUUUGCUAUAGAUCCCUAAAAGUCCAUGCACCACCGAUCGCUCUGACAUUCUGGUUAAAAUGGUAAAAAAAAUUACAGUCAAAGGUCUGAAGGUUUAAAAGAGUUAAAAUGGUUUAAAUAAAAAAGAGUUUAUCUCUAAAAUUAUGUAAUUAAUAACACUCACUGGAAGGGGCAAUGGGGGUUUAAAAGAAGGCUGCCUGGGCCUUUCAGUCAGUCCAGAUUUUGUUGCAUUGAAGGUCACAAGCUCAUUGUUGUAUUGCUGCUGUGUUUCUUUUUAUGAGUGUGAAUUCAUGAGUAAAAGCAGAACUCUUGCCUUGUUGGCUUUUUUGUGUUGUACAUUUUUGGUUAAUAGUUUUUUUGAUCAUGUUUCAUCUUUAAACCUCCACACCAGUGUCAUGCAUCUGAAACACAGUACAUUUGACAACUCCAUCAACUCCAGAUGCUACACUUCUGCUGAGCUGCCACAUCCUCCUCUUCCCCCAAAGCAGCUGGGGUAAACACAGCCAGACCAGAGCAAGUCAUGUUAGUUAAAAAUCAUAAUUACAUGUUGAAAUCAGCAGGAUAAAAGCUAGUUAAUCAAGGUAACAGAUGAUGACGUUGUGAGAUGUUCAGGGUUGGGUCACUAAAACGAGAAUUGGGUGAGUAAACUUGUUACCAUGAUGUUUUCAAAAGUCAUGUCCAGAAAAAAUAAAAAAUAGUUUUUGGGCAAAAUCUGUAUAAAAACAAAAGGAGAAAAAAAAGAUACAAAGGAUUGAACAACCAUAUCAGUAAGGAUGUGGAUCCUUAAGGAGUCAAGUAUCAAUAUCAAUUACUGAUCCAAAUCCCUAAUCCUGUGUGACACCAACAUCCAGAAAGCUGCGAUUAAUGAAGAUCUGUGUGUACAGACCCUUCUGGAUGUUGACCUUGGCUUCCUGGGACCAUAAGGAAUUUAAAGGAAAGACUUGGUUCUCACCAUUUUGACAACCUUGGACAGUAUAGCCUGGAGAUUACAGAGCUGGAGUGGUUUGUAAACCCCUGAAACCAACAGUUUAAGGAUUUUAUUUGGGCAUGUUGAGGCACAAAUAAUAAGGGUGAAGGGGUGAAGUCCUGCUGCUGAAAAUAUUGAGCAUCUGGCACUUAAUUCCGGCAUUCAGGUGAUAUGUAUGUGAAAUUUAGUGGGGAAAAAAAACAUUCAAAGGGUUAAUUUUACAUUUCAUACACUGAAAGGGCAUCAGUGGGGCCAAGGAGCAAUCUACUAUAAGCAAUCAAUCUCAAACACAAGGAUAUAAAUGACAGUCUGGGUUCUGUAUAAACUUUAGUGCACAUCACCAGGUAUGUAACCAGAAGAUCAAUCAUUUCUUCACUGUGACAAAGGAUAAAAUGGAUUAGUCAUGUCUAACACAUCAGCAAAGAUCUGAUUUGCUCUGUAAAGGAGGUUAAUAAAGGCACUUUGUGGGUGACUGAUUGACUCUUGAAGGCGUGGCUUAUCACACGUUGGUUCUUAACCUAAUAGGAGAUAUGAAAACUCCUGCUGAGAGUUACCUUUUUCUCUGACAGGCGUGACCCAGUAAUGCUAAAUCUCAUUUUUACAUGAAUAUUUAUGUCAGCAUUGCAUGACAAUUUAUUUCAUAUAUUCCAAAACACAUGCACGUCUGAGCAGGCAGCUCUGGCUUGCCGAGCGCCCGUCACUGCUGAGUUGGAUUCAAUAGUGACAGGUAUCUGACACAAAACAUUACUGCAGGAGGAGGGUAGAAAUCACAGAAGUGACAUUCUCACAGUUUUGGUGACACCGCGACAUGUUUAUUUAUCCUUCAGUCUGAUUUUUAGAUGCACCUGCUCUCCUCACUCUGUUUUCCCCUCCUUUUCUAGGCGGUAAAUCUCUGCAGCCUGACUUCCAGACUGGAGUGUUGACAGAGAAGCUCAGCAUGUAGCAAGCAGCCUCUGGCAAUAUAUAAAAACUACUUUUCAUCAGAAAUGUCUUUCCUUUACCGUUUUGUUGCUUACGAGGUUGUACAUCCAGUGACAUAGCUAAGAUCCUUUUUGUGUUUCAGCAACACAUUCUCUGUGUUUGAACCGUUAUUUGUUGAGCUGUUAGAACGUGGGAAAAGAAGUCUUUGAAUGCAAACAUGGAAAUGUGGCUGCAGGAGAAAGAGGUGUUCAGGAGGGAGCACCAUAUUCAUCUCUGUUGAGUCUUUUGUAAAUAGAGAAGGAACUUUAUUAAACCCCGAAGGGAAAUUCAAUUGUCUGUAGUCUCAGUGUCAUGUCUCAAGUCAUCUACUAUUUACAGAAGAAUCAUAAAGUCUGGUGGCUGUGGGUACAAAAGAUCUUCUGAAUCUUUCUGUCCUGCAGCGAAGAGAGAGGAGCCGUCCACCACCAUUGGCCCUUUGGUCCAUUAAGGUGAUAUAAAGUGGGUGAUCUAUGGUCUUUGCUGCUGUUAACACCAAAAUGUCCCUGACCCUGGGAUGAAUAAAGGGUGAUCUUAUCCCUUAUCUUAUACAAAACUAGCCAACAAUGAAGUAGCGAUAAGGUAAACAAUAAAUGAUGCAAGCCUGUUACUGAACAUGUUGAGCCAAUUACAAACAAGAAGUCACACUGGGGCCGACGCGGAUAUAGAACGCGAAAUUACUAAAUAUUCAGAGGCGAAUUUUGAAGCGCCUGACGAUACACAUCAAGCCCAAUGCAAUUUUGCAACUUUCCGGGGGUAAAAAGACGCGUCCCGGGUGGAAGCAGGAAGACUGACACAACAUCAUACUGACUGUUUUCAGUUCUGAUGAGACACUAGUGUUGAGAUGGCUGCCUGUCAUGAUAGCAUUUACUAAGUUGGGGCCAGUACCAGACAAGCACAUGAAACUAUAAUCCAUAAACGUAAGGUAACAACCGAGACCUAAUGGUGCUGUGACAACAACACAAUUGAGUUUGAGACAGUAAAAAUCCUUAUGGUAUGUUGUAUCUGAACAGGUUAGCUUACGAGUUAAAGUUACUUAGCACAAAUGAAAGUUAAAACAAAGACGUUUAGCAAACUGUUAAAGCACACAAACCAUCGUCAUAUGAGAAAUCCGACGCUAUGACUCUCCACAAGUUGUCCUUCAGAUCAUUAUCUUUGUAAUGUUUGUGUCUUUUAUCGAAAAGCACUCUGUUCUCCGACACGUAAACAAUCAGCCGGUCGGCCAUGUGAAUUAUAUGUCGCAACAACACCUUAAGUGUUACCCUUUCAGGUUUCUGAAAUGUCAGCAGGAAAAAAAUAUGCAGCACAUGGGGAGUUGACAGUCAGCAUAGCAGCAUCAGAAAGCCACAGUCCACGCCUUACUACUGUGUUUGCUAGGCUGAGCUGAAAUAAACUCAACAGUCAUCACUGUGUCAGUGUGCAGUUUCGCAUUAGGUGUUUACCAUAAUGCAAAACUGCACACUUGUAUUUGGAUGAUUGAAUUUGUGUUGGAGACUUGAACCCGUCUGCUGUGUACAGUUAGCCAUUCCAGCCUGCUGCUAUCCCAGCAGUUUCCAAUUGAUGGGUCAAAACUGACCUGCAUUAAUUGUAAUCCACCAUGAAACUAAUACGGCCUCACUUCAAAAAUACUGAAAUAUCCCUCUAAUCAUAAGACUCUCAGAUUCAAAGAUCAUCAAAUGGUAUUUUGUCAUGGAUCAUGAAAAUAACAGGGUCUGCUUUUUAACCAUCAUAUACAAUAAAUUACCAAUAAUAGGUGUCUACUUGAAAAGCAUUAAGCACAGUAGAUAGAUACACAAGAUACGUGUUAUAGUAAGAAUCCCAAUAACAAGAAAGGACAGGCACCAGAGGGUCCUCCAGAAAACCUCGUCUUAGGUCUAUUUCAACAUGUAGUCUAGGCCUUUGAAAGAUGUGACCAUAGGGCUCUGGAGUGUAGAGGCGAGUCUGCUGAUGUUCGGGUGUUGGUUGUUGUGUUCCUUUUUCCAUCUGCCGUAGACUUCCAAGUGGAACCUCAAGACCAUUUUUGCCUAACACCACCUGACAAGUCAUUUGACAUCUGAGAGAGUUCAAUAUAUUCCUAAACCUUUAGGAAUCUUUUUUUCCUGGCCCCAAAUGUCA